GGGCGUAAAGCGCAUGCAGGUGGUUUGUUAAGUCAGAUGUGAAAGCCCGGGGCUCAACCUCGGAAUUGCAUUUGAAACUGGCAGACUAGAGUACUGUAGAGGGGGGUAGAAUUUCAGGUGUAGCGGUGAAAUGCGUAGAGAUCUGAAGGAAUACCGGUGGCGAAGGCGGCCCCCUGGACAGAUACUGACACUCAGAUGCGAAAGCGUGGGGAGCAAACAGGAUUAGAUACCCUGGUAGUCCACGCCGUAAACGAUGUCUACUUGGAGGUUGUGGCCUUGAGCCGUGGCUUUCGGAGCUAACGCGUUAAGUAGACCGCCUGGGGAGUACGGUCGCAAGAUUAAAACUCAAAUGAAUUGACGGGGGCCCGCACAAGCGGUGGAGCAUGUGGUUUAAUUCGAUGCAACGCGAAGAACCUUACCUACUCUUGACAUCCAGAGAACUUUUCAGAGAUGGAUUGGUGCCUUCGGGAACUCUGAGACAGGUGCUGCAUGGCUGUCGUCAGCUCGUGUUGUGAAAUGUUGGGUUAAGUCCCGCAACGAGCGCAACCCUUAUCCUUGUUUGCCAGCACUUCGGGUGGGAACUCCAGGGAGACUGCCGGUGAUAAACCGGAGGAAGGUGGGGACGACGUCAAGUCAUCAUGGCCCUUACGAGUAGGGCUACACACGUGCUACAAUGGCGCAUACAGAGGGCGGCCAACUUGCGAAAGUGAGCGAAUCCCAAAAAGUGCGUCGUAGUCCGGAUCGGAGUCUGCAACUCGACUCCGUGAAGUCGGAAUCGCUAGUAAUCGUGGAUCAGAAUGCCACGGUGAAUACGUUCCCGGGCCUUGUACACACCGCCCGUCACACCAUGGGAGUGGGCUGCAAAAGAAGUGGGUAGUUU
rnacentral:rRNA from 1 species